AGAGUUUGAUCCUGGCUCAGGAUGAACGCUAGCGAUAGGCUUAACACAUGCAAGUCGAGGGGCAGCACGUUAUGGUGGCGACCGGCGCACGGGUGAGUAACACGUAUGCAACCUACCCAUAACAGGGGGAUAGCCCGGAGAAAUCCGGAUUAAUACCGCAUAAAGCAGGGAUACCACAUGGUAGUAUUUGCUAAAGAUUUAUCGGUUAUGGAUGGGCAUGCGUAGGAUUAGAUAGUUGGUAGAGGUAACGGCUCACCAAGUCAACGAUCCUUAGGGGAACUGAGAGGUUUAUCCCCCACACUGGUACUGAGACACGGACCAGACUCCUACGGGAGGCAGCAGUGAGGAAUAUUGGUCAAUGGUCGUAAGACUGAACCAGCCAAAUCGCGUGAAGGAUGAAGGUAUUAUGUAUUGUAAACUUCUUUUGAGAGGGAAUAAAGUGCGCCACGCGUGGUGUUUUGUAUGUACCUUUCGAAUAAGCAUCGGCUAACUCCGUGCCAGCAGCCGCGGUAAUACGGAGGAUGCGAGCGUUAUCCGGAUUUAUUGGGUUUAAAGGGUGCGUAGGUGGUUUGAUAAGUCAGCGGUGAAAUCCUGGAGCUUAACUCCGGAACUGCCGUUGAAACUGUCGGACUUGAGUGUAAACGAGGCAGGCGGAAUUCGUAGUGUAGCGGUGAAUGCAUAGAUAUUACGAAGAACCCCGAUAGCGCAGGCAGCUUGCCAGGCUACAACUGACACUGAAGCACGAAAG
rnacentral:rRNA from 1 species